rnacentral:lncRNA from 1 species
UUAUUUCUCAUUAUCAUAUUUGAUCAUAGCAUAUAACUUCUCUAGUCUCCUAUGUUUUUCUAUCUUUCUUUUUCUUUGCUCUCUCUCCCCACUAUUUUCUUUUUUUUUCUUCUCUCAUUUCUCUCCCUCAUUUAUAGAAAAUGUCUUCAAAAGAAGAUAAAAAGUCCGACGGCCAUGGGUGAGUCACCUCAUGAGGUGGCCCCAUAGUUAAAUCAAUAAACCAUGAUUGGCACGUAUCUCAAAAUGGGACACGCGUUUAGUCUUCUAUUUUAUUUUAUCAAAAAAUAUUUUUGGAUAAAAAUCAUGUCAUCAUACAAAUUUUAAAAAUUACAAAAAUUCUACCGAUGUAUUUAUAUAUUUUCUCUUAUUAUAAUUAAAUAAAAAUAAUUAAGGGUCGGGAUAUUAC